rnacentral:rRNA from 1 species
UGGGGAAUUUUGGACACUGGGGGAAACCCUGAUCCAGCCAUCCCGCGUGUGCGAUGAAGGCCUUCGGGUUGUAAAGCACUUUUGGCAGGAAAGAAACGUCAUGGGUUAAUACCCCGUGAAACUGACGGUACCUGCAGAAUAAGCACCGGCUAACUACGUGCCAGCAGCCGCGGUAAUACGUAGGGUGCAAGCGUUAAUCGGAAUUACUGGGCGUAAAGCGUGCGCAGGCGGUUCGGAAAGAAAGAUGUGAAAUCCCAGAGCUCAACUUUGGAACUGCAUUUUUAACUACCGGGCUAGAGUGUGUCAGAGGGAGGUGGAAUUCGGCGUGUAGCAGUGAAAUGCGUAGAUAUGCGGAGGAACACCGAUGGCGAAGGCAGCCUCCUGGGAUAACACUGACGCUCAUGCACGAAAGCGUGGGGAGCAAACAGG